CCUACGGGAGGCAGCAGUAGGGAAUCUUCCGCAAUGGGCGCAAGCCUGAUGGAGCAACACCGCGUGAGUGAAGAAGGUUUUCGGCUCGUAAAGCUCUGUUGUUAGGGAAGAACGUGCGUUUGAGUAACUGUUCACGCAGUGACGGUAUCCAACCAGAAAGUCACGGCUAACUACGUGCCAGCAGCCGCGGUAAUACGUAGGUGGCAAGCGUUAUCCGGAAUUAUUGGGCGUAAAGCGAGCGCAGGCGGUUGUUUAGGUCUGAUGUGAAAGACUACGGCUUAACCGAAGAAGGGCAUAGGAAACUGGAAGACUUGAGUGCAGAAGAGGAAAGUGGAACUCCAUGUGUAGCGGUGGAAUGCGUAGAGAUAUGGAAGAACACCAGUGGCGAAGGCGGCUGUCUGGUCUGUAACUGACGCUGAGGUGCGAAAGCAUGGGUAGCGAACAGGAUUAGAUACCCUAGUAGUC
rnacentral:rRNA from 1 species